UACAGGGGGGGGCAAGCGUUGUUCGGAAUUACUGGGCGUAAAGGGCUCGUAGGCGGCCAACUAAGUCACACGUGAAAUCCCCAGGCUUAACCUGGGAACUGCGUGUGAUACUGGAUGGCUUGAAUUCGGGAGAGGGAUGCAGAAUUCCAGGUGUAGCGGUGAAAUGCGUAGAUAUCUGGAGGAAUACCGGUGGCGAAGGCGGCAUCCUGGACCGACAUUGACGCUGAGGAGCGAAAAGCUAGGGGAGCAAACGGG
rnacentral:rRNA from 1 species